CCUACGGGAGGCAGCAGUGGGGAAUAUUGGGCAAUGGAGGCAACUCUGACCCAGCAACGCCGCGUGAAUGAUGAAGGUCUUCGGAUUGUAAAGUUCUGUGAUGGGGGAUGAACACAAUGACGGUACCCCAAUAGCAAGCCACGGCUAACUACGUGCCAGCAGACGCGUUAAUACGUAGGUGGCAACCGUUAUACGGAAUGACUGGGCGUAAAGGGUGCGUAGGUGGUUUAGUAAGUUGGCGGUGUAAAUCCGGGGCUCAACCUCGGGGCUACCGAAAAAAUCAUUAGACUAGAGUGCAGAAGAGGUGAGUGGAAUUCCUAGUGUAGCGGUGGAAUGCGUAGAUAUUAGGAGGAACACCAGUGGCGAAGGCGGCUUACUGGACUGUAACUGACGUUGAGGCUCGAAAGCGUGGGGAGCAAACAGGAUUAGAUACCCUUGUAGUC
rnacentral:rRNA from 1 species